UACGUAGGGCGCAAGCGUUGUCCGGAAUUAUUGGGCGUAAAGAGCUCGUAGGCGGUCUGUUACGUCCGCUGUGAAAACCCAGGGCUUAACCCUGGGCUUGCAGUGGAUACGGGUAGACUAGAGGCAGGUAGGGGAGAAUGGAAUUCCCGGUGUAGCGGUGAAAUGCGUAGAUAUCAAGAGGAACACCUGAGGUGAAGACGGGUUGCUGGGCCAACACUGACGCUGAUGCGCGAAAGCCAGGGGAGCAAACGGG
rnacentral:rRNA from 1 species